GAGGGUAUAGCUCAGCGGCAGAGCACGUGCCUAGAAUGCACGGAGUCCUGGGUUCAAUCCCCAGUACUUCCA